GACGAACGCUGGCGGCGUGCUUAACACAUGCCAGUCGAACGGUGAAGGGAUCAGCUUGCUGGUUCUGGAUGAGUGGCGAACGGGUGAGUAACACGUGAGUAACCUGCCCCCUUCUUCUGGAUAACCGCAUGAAAGUGUGGCUAAUACGGGAUAUUCUGGGUCUGUCGCAUGAUGGGUCUGGGAAAGAUAUUGUUUCGGUGGGGGAUGGGCUCGCGGCCUAUCAGCUUGUUGGUGGGGUGAUGGCCUACCAAGGCGGUGACGGGUAGCCGGCCUGAGAGGGUGGACGGUCACACUGGGACUGAGACACGGCCCAGACUCCUACGGGAGGCAGCAGUGGGGAAUAUUGCACAAUGGGCGCAAGCCUGAUGCAGCGACGCCGCGUGAGGGAGGGAGGCCUUCGGGUUGUAAACCUCUUUCGCCAGUGAAGCAGGCCUGCUCCUUGUGGGUGGGUUGACGGUAGCUGGAUAAGAAGCGCCGGCUAACUACGUG
rnacentral:rRNA from 1 species